GAUGAACGCUAGCGGCAGGCUUAACACAUGCAAGUCGAGGGGUAGAAGGAGCUUGCUCCUUUGAGACCGGCGCACGGGUGCGUAACGCGUAUGCAAUCUACCUUUUGCAGAGGGAUAGCCCAGAGAAAUUUGGAUUAAUACCUCAUAGUAUGUGAGGAUGGCAUCAUUUUCACAUUAAAGUCACAACGGCAAAAGAUGAGCAUGCGUCCCAUUAGCUAGUUGGUAAGGUAACGGCUUACCAAGGCUACGAUGGGUAGGAGUCCUGAGAGGGAGAUCCCCCACACUGGUACUGAGACACGGACCAGACUCCUACGGGAGGCAGCAGUGAGGAAUAUUGGACAAUGGGCGCAAGCCUGAUCCAGCCAUGCCGCGUGCAGGAUGACGGUCCUAUGGAUUGUAAACUGCUUUUAUACAGGAAGAAACACUCCGACGUGUCAGAGCUUGACGGUACUGUAAGAAUAAGGAUCGGCUAACUCCG
rnacentral:rRNA from 1 species